CUCGCCUGCAUGAAGUCGGAAUUGCUAGUAAUCGCAGAUCAGCAUGCUGCGGUGAAUACGUUCCCGGGCCUUGUACACACCGCCCGUCACACCAUGGGAGUCGGUAACACCCGAAGUCGGUAGUCUAACCGAAAGGAGGACGCCGCCGAAGGUGGGAUUGAUGACUGGGGUGAAGUCGUAACAAGGUAUC
rnacentral:rRNA from 1 species